rnacentral:rRNA from 1 species
CCUACGGGAGGCAGCAGUGGGGAAUAUUGGGCAAUGGAGGAAACUCUGACCCAGCGACGCCGCGUGCGGGAUGAAGGCCUUCGGGUUGUAAACCGCUUUCAGCAGGGAAGAAGCGAAAGUGACGGUACCUGCAGAAGAAGCACCGGCUAACUAUGUGCCAGCAGCCGCGGUAAUACAUAGGGUGCAAGCGUUGUCCGGAAUUAUUGGGCGUAAAGAGCUCGUAGGUGGUUCGUCACGUCGGAUGUGAAAAUCUGGGGCUUAACCCCAGACCUGCAUUCGAUACGGGCGAGCUUGAGUAUGGUAGGGGAGUCUGGAAUUCCUGGUGUAGCGGUGGAAUGCGCAGAUAUCAGGAGGAACACCAAUGGCGAAGGCAGGACUCUGGGCCAUUACUGACACUGAGGAGCGAAAGCGUGGGGAGCGAACAGGAUUAGAUACCCUGGUAGUCCACGCCGUAAACGGUGGGCACUAGUUGUGGGGACCUUCCGAUGGUCUCUGCGACGCAGCUACGCAUAGUGCCCGCCGCGGGAGGUACGAGCGCAGAUUAAACUUAAAUAGAGUAGAGCGNGAGACGUGCGACGACGACGACGAGGGAGGAGG